GGAAUAAUUUCAAGACGAAUAAUAUGAAAUUUGACCAAGAUCUUCUCACCAGUCGAUAACGUAGCAGACGUGUUAUCAUGAUAUAUUUAUCCGCGUGUGACGCGGCUCUUGCAAAAAACACAGUUGGUUGCGGAAUUGCUUUGUGCCGACCGGCCACCCGCUCCGGGGCAGCUAGCUGUCGAGCUGCCGGACCGCAUACCUUUCAUGCUGUCUUGAACUCACUUGCGAAUUGCAUUUGUAUGUUUGACGGUGACCUCUAGCGUAAUUAAAUAUACAGGUAGAAAACAACUCGGGAGGCCGAGAAGAAUAGUAAGUUGAUUCAAGAUUGUUCUGUGGAAUGAGCCAUGAGUGGAAAUGAUCCACAGGAUAUAAAAAUGGUGUCAAAGACAAAAGGAAAGAAGAAAAAGACGUUAGGGGAUUGCUGCAUGGUCAUGAACUGCGGUUCGACCAUAGAGAUAUAUAUGGGGAUGGUCUGGGGGUCGACAUACCAGAACACUUCCCCACUACAGUGCAGUACACACUCAAUGCCUGGGUGCAUGCAGCGCGCGCAGAGCUGAGCUAGCCGCCGGAAUUACUUUCCAGCUACUCACUUGAUGGAACAUCGUGAUAAAAUAAAUGAGAAAUAGUGAAAAUAUCAUUCAAUAACUCACUGUUUUCAAUCUUUCAUCAUGAUUUAAGAGUUCAUGAUAGUUAUUCAUACUGUUCUUUAUACAGGUAAAGUAAAGAUUUGUACAUAUGAUUCCUAUUUGUUUGAUUUGAGUUGCUUUGACAAAAAAUUGUAAAAUCAUCUUUCACUCUCUGCAUAGCAUUUCUGUAUUACACCCAGGCACCUCUUACACUAAAUUCCCUCCGGUGACGUCACACUCAGAGUGAUUUUUCUGUACACUCGUCUCUCGGGCUCUGACAGGUGGCUAAUUUCAUAGACUUUCAAAGCAAAAUAUCGAGAAGGCAGAAGAUUUUUGUGACAUGCUAUUUGUUUGAACAACUGAUAUAUA